rnacentral:rRNA from 1 species
AACGAACGCUGGCGGCAGGCUUAACACAUGCAAGUCGAGCGCCCCGCAAGGGGAGCGGCAGACGGGUGAGUAACGCGUGGGAAUCUACCCAUCUCUACGGAAUAACGCAUGGAAACGUGUGCUAAUACCGUAUACGUCCUUCGGGAGAAAGAUUUAUCGGAGAUGGAUGAGCCCGCGUUGGAUUAGCUAGUUGGUGGGGUAAAGGCCUACCAAGGCGACGAUCCAUAGCUGGUCUGAGAGGAGGAUCAGCCACACUGGGACUGAGACACGGCCCAGACUCCUACGGGAGGAAGCAGUGGGGAAUAUUGGACAAUGGGGCAAGCCUGAUCCAGCCAUGCCGCGUGAGUGAUGAAGGCCCUAGGGUUGUAAAGCUCUUUCACCGGUGAAGAUAAUGACGGUAACCGGAGAAGAAGCCCCGGCUAACUUCGUGCCAGCCGCCGCGGUAACAC